rnacentral:lncRNA from 1 species
UGUAAGAGAUAAUGCUCCCGAGCAAGUCAAACACAAAGAUAAACAUCAAUCUGAGAAGAUCACUCCUAGAGAUAUAAACUUUGUAAAUUCAAAUAUUGGGAGAGAUAUGGAUAAAUGUAAUUCAAACUAAGGAUUUUUUGGGUUGUUAUCUUCUUAUCUUGUAAUCAACUAUAUUGUUUAUAAAUACAAAGUAGGACACCUCCAUAUGUAUUGUGUGGAGCAGAAUAUUCAUCAAA